GAAGCAAACACAACCAGGAAAGUUCUAAGCCAGAAUCCUCAGCAAGCAAUUUAGAGCUCGCCCUGAUUGAGACCGACAGCAGCCCCACGCUGUCACCCGAGCACGCCCCGCAGGGCACCAAGCUGUGCCACGUACCUUCAGGCAGUCGUCCAUGAGGCCUCUGUGAGGACACAAAGCACGUCGUGUUUAUCCUCAAAUCAACAAGUAUGCAAAGGGUGUCCAGUGUGGGCAUUACACACACAGUGUGCGCAGGGAAGUUUUUAAGAAAAGACAACCUCCACUUCAGAAGGGCCUUCCCAGCUCCCCUGGCUGACAAGGAACACAUACACGAAAAGAAACAGAGGACAGGAUGGGAUUAAGGGGAAAAGGCUCCAGUAUAAGGAGUUAGCUCAGCUGGGUUUUUGCCCUAUGAGGGCUUAAUAUGUUCCAAGCAUUGGGAUUAUCUCAUUUAAGCCUUACA